UGGGGAAUAUUGGACAAUGGGGGCAACCCUGAUCCAGCCAUGCCGCGUGUGUGAAGAAGGCCUUUUGGUUGUAAAGCACUUUAAGCAGUGAAGAAGACUCCAUGGUUAAUACCCAUGGACGAUGACAUUAGCUGCAGAAUAAGCACAGGCUAACUCUGUGCCAGCAGCCGCGGUAAUACAGAGGGUGCAAGCGUUAAUCGGAAUUACUGGGCGUAAAGCGAGCGUAGGUGGCUUGAUAAGUCAGAUGUGAAAGCCCCGGGCUUAACCUGGGAACGGCAUCUGAUACUGUUAGGCUAGAGUAGGUGAGAGGAAGGUAGAAUUCCAGGUGUAGCGGUGAAAUGCGUAGAGAUCUGGAGGAAUACCGAUGGCGAAGGCAGCCUUCUGGCAUCAUACUGACACUGAGGUUCGAAAGCGUGGGUAGCAAACA
rnacentral:rRNA from 1 species